AAUGAACGCUGGCGGCGCGCCUAAUACAUGCAAGUCGAGCGAGAAGACGUAGCAAUACGUUUGUAAAGCGGCGAACGGGUGAGGAAUACAUGGGUAACCUACCCUCGAGUGGGGAAUAACUAGCCGAAAGGUUAGCUAAUACCGCGUACGCUUCUUGGACUUCGGUUCAGGGAGGAAAGCGAUGCCGAGGGUAUCGCGCUCUUGGAUGGGCUCAUGUCCUAUCAGCUUGNGGUGAGGUAACGGCUCACCAAGGCUUCGACGGGUAGCUGGUCUGAGAGGACGAUCAGCCACACUGGCACUGCGACACGGGCCAGACUCCUACGGGAGGCAGCAGUAAGGAAUAUUGCGCAAUGGGCGAAAGCCUGACGCAGCGACGCCGCGUGGGGGAUGAAGGUCUUCGGAUUGUAAACCCC
rnacentral:rRNA from 1 species